rnacentral:rRNA from 1 species
AGUGAACGCUGGCGGUAGGCCUAACACAUGCAAGUCGAACGGCAGCACAGUAAGCGCUUGCUCUUACGGGUGGCGAGUGGCGGACGGGUGAGGAAUACAUCGGCAUCUACUUUUUCGUGGGGGAUAACGUAGGGACACUUACGCUAAUACCGCAUACGACCUACGGGUGAAAGCAAGGGAUCUUCGGACCUUGCGCGAUUGAAUGAGCCGAUGUCGGAUUAGCUAGUUGGCGGGGUAAAGGCCCACCAAGGCGACGAUCCGUAGCUGGUCUGAGAGGAUGAUCAGCCACACUGGAACUGAGACACGGUCCAGACUCCUACGGGAGGCAGCAGUGGGGAAUAUUGGACAAUGGGCGCAAGCCUGAUCCAGCCAUACCGCGUGGGUGAAGAAGGCCUUCGGGUUGUAAAGCCCUUUUGUUGGGAAAGAAAAGCAGCAGGUUAAUACCCCGCUGUUCUGACGGUACCCAAAGAAUAAGCACCGGCUAACUUCGUG